rnacentral:rRNA from 1 species
CCCGCACAAGCGGUGGAUUAUGUGGAUUAAUUCGAUGCAACGCGAAAAACCUUACCUACCCUUGACAUGUCCUGAAGCCUGGAGAGAUCCGGGUGUGCCCGAAAGGGAACGGGAACACAGGCGCUGCAUGGCUGUCGUCAGCUCGUGUCGUGAGAUGUUGGGUUAAGUCCCGUAACGAGCGCAACCCUUGUCCUUAGUUGCCAGCGGUUCGGCCGGGAACUCUAAGGAGACUGCCGGUGAUAAACCGGAGGAAGGUGGGGACGACGUCAAGUCAUCAUGGCCCUUAUGGGCAGGGCUACACACGUGCUACAAUGGCCAGUACAGAAGGUUGCCAACCCGCGAGGGGGAGCUAAUCCUCAAAAGCUGGUCGUAGUCCGGAUCGCAGUCUGCAACUCGACUGCGUGAAGUCGGAAUCGCUAGUAAUCGCGAAUCAGCAUGUCGCGGUGAAUACGUUCCCGGGCCUU